rnacentral:tRNA from 1 species
UCCCUGGUGGCUCAGACGGUAAAGCAUCUGCCUGCAAUGCGGGAGACCCAGGUUUGAUGCCUGGGUUGGGAG